rnacentral:rRNA from 1 species
GACAGAGGGUGCAAACGUUGUUCGGAAUUACUGGGCGUAAAGCGCGUGUAGGCAGUCUUGCAAGUCGGAUGUGAAAGCCCUGGGCUCAACCUAGGAAGUGCACUCGAAACUGCGAGACUUGAGUCCUGGAGAGGAAGGCGGAAUUCUCGGUGUAGAGGUGAAAUUCGUAGAUAUCGAGAGGAACACCGGUGGCGAAGGCGGCCUUCUGGACAGUGACUGACGCUGAGACGCGAAAGCGUGGGGAGCAAACAGG